rnacentral:rRNA from 1 species
GACGAACGCUGGCGGCGUGCCUAAUACAUGCAAGUCGAGCGAGCGGAACUAACAGAUUUACUUCGGUAAUGACGUUAGGAAAGCGAGCGGCGGAUGGGUGAGUAACACGUGGGGAACCUGCCCCAUAGUCUGGGAUACCACUUGGAAACAGGUGCUAAUACCGGAUAAGAAAGCAGAUCGCAUGAUCAGCUUUUAAAAGGCGGCGUAAGCUGUCGCUAUGGGAUGGCCCCGCGGUGCAUUAGCUAGUUGGUAAGGUAAAGGCUUACCAAGGCGAUGAUGCAUAGCCGAGUUGAGAGACUGAUCGGCCACAUUGGGACUGAGACACGGCCCAAACUCCUACGGGAGGCAGCAGUAGGGAAUCUUCCACAAUGGACGCAAGUCUGAUGGAGCAACGCCGCGUGAGUGAAGAAGGUUUUCGGAUCGUAAAGCUCUGUUGUUGGUGAAGAAGGAUAGAGGUAGUAACUGGCCUCUAUUUGACGGUAAUCAACCAGAAAGUCACGGCUAACUACGUG